rnacentral:rRNA from 1 species
CCUACGGGAGGCAGCAGUCGAGAAUUUUUCACAAUGGGGGAAACCCUGAUGGAGCGACGCCGCGUGGAGGAUGAAGGUUUUCGGAUUGUAAACUCCUGUCACCACAGAACAAGCAAUGCAUUCUAAUAAAGUGCAAAGUUGAUGGUAUGUGGGGAGGAAGGGACGGCUAACUCUGUGCCAGCAGCCGCGGUAAU